AUCCCUUCCUCUCUUUGUAGCCCAUAGUCCUCCCAUCACCACAAAGCCCAUCUAGAGGAAAUCAAAUCGAUGUCCAAGGACCUAUUGCUGAGGCAGUAGGUCCCCAGAAAGUAUUUUUAUGUGUUCUUGAAGUUGCCACCACUUUGCCUGGGGAUGGCAAUAAGAUAGAGAUCUCCCAUCUUGUGAAGACUCCCAGGAUGAGCCUCAGAAAAGUGUGACCAGCAUCAGACCUCGUCUGUGUCCAGAGAGGACAAUGGAUGUCACUAACUCCUGACAUAUAGUAAGGAACAG
rnacentral:sRNA from 1 species